CGCGUAGGCGGCCGAUUAAGUCGGGGGUAAAGGCCUGUGGCUCAACCACAGAAUUGCCUUCGAUACUGGUUGGCUUGAGACCGGAAGAGGACAGCGGAACUGCGAGUGUAGAGGUGAAAUUCGUAGAUAUUCGCAGAACACCAGUGGCGAAGGCGGCUGUCUGGUCCGGUUCUGACGCUGAGGCGCGAAAGCGUGGGGAGCAAACA
rnacentral:rRNA from 1 species